GACGAACGCUGGCGGCGUGCUUAACACAUGCAAGUCGAACGAUGAAGCCGGAGCUUGCUCUGGUGAAUUAGUGGCGAACGGGUGAGUAACACGUGAGUAACCUGCCCUUGACUCUGGGAUAACUGCGGGAAACUGUAGCUAAUACCGGAUACGACCCUCGGAGGCAUCUCCUGGGGGGUGGAAAGAAUUUCGGUCAAGGAUGGACUCGCGGCCUAUCAGCUAGUUGGUGAGGUAAAGGCUCACCAAGGCGACGACGGGUAGCCGGCCUGAGAGGGUGACCGGCCACACUGGGACUGAGACACGGCCCAGACUCCUACGGGAGGCAGCAGUGGGGAAUAUUGCACAAUGGGCGCAAGCCUGAUGCAGCAACGCCGCGUGAGGGAUGACGGCCUUCGGGUUGUAAACCUCUUUUAGCAGGGAAGAAGCGAAAGUGACGGUACCUGCAGAAAAAGCACCGGCUAACUACGUGCCAGCAGCCGCGGUAA
rnacentral:rRNA from 1 species